rnacentral:rRNA from 1 species
UACGAAGGGGGCUAGCGUUGCUCGGAAUGACUGGGCGUAAAGGGCGCGUAGGCGGGUCUUUAAGUCAGGGGUGAAAUCCUGGAGCUCAACUCCAGAACUGCCUUUGAUACUGAAGAUCUUGAGUUCGGGAGAGGUGAGUGGAACUGCGAGUGUAGAGGUGAAAUUCGUAGAUAUUCGCAAGAACACCAGUGGCGAAGGCGGCUCACUGGCCCGAUACUGACGCUGAGGCACGAAAGCGUGGGGAGCAAACAGG